rnacentral:tRNA from 1 species
GCAAUUAGCUCAGUUGGUUAGAGCGCCACCUUUACACGGUGGAUGUCGGGGGUUCGAAUCCCUCAUUGCCC